GAUGAACGCUAGCUACAGGCUUAACACAUGCAAGUCGAGGGGCAGCAUGAACUUAGCUUGCCUAAGUUUGAUGGCGACCGGCGCACGGGUGAGUAACACGUAUCCAACCUUCCGUUUACUCAGGGAUAGCCUUUCGAAAGAAAGAUUAAUACCUGAUAGUAUGGUGAGAUUGCAUGAUAGCACCAUUAAAGAUUUAUUGGUAAACGAUGGGGAUGCGUUCCAUUAGGUAGUAGGCGGGGUAACGGCCCACCUAGCCGACGAUGGAUAGGGGGUUCUGAGAGGAAGGUCCCCCACAUUGGAACUGAGACACGGUCCAAACUCCUACGGGAGGCAGCAGUGAGGAAUAUUGGUCAAUGGGCGAGAGCCUGAACCAGCCAAGUAGCGUGAAGGAUGAAGGUCCUACGGAUUGUAAACUUCUUUUAUACGGGAAUAAAGUAUCCUACGUGUAGGAUUUUGUAUGUACCGUAUGAAUAAGCAUCGGCUAACUCCGUG
rnacentral:rRNA from 1 species